AGUGAACGCUGGCGGUAGGCUUAACACAUGCAAGUCGAACGGUAGCACAGUAAAAGCUUGCUACUACGGGCGGCGAGUGGCGGACGGGUGAGGAAUACACCGGAAUCUAGUUUUUAGCGGGGGAUAACGUAGGGAAACUUACGCUACUACCGCAUACGACCUACGGGGGAAAGCAGGGCAUCUUCGGAACUUGCGCGACUGAAUGAGCCGAUGUCGGAUUAGCUGGUUGGCGGGGUAAAGGCCCACCAAGGCGACGAUCCGUAGCUGGUCUGAUAGGAUGAUCAGCCACACUGGAACUGAGACACGGUCCAGACUCCUACGGGAGGCAGCAGUGGGGAAUAUUGGACAAUGGGCGCAAGCCUGAUCCAGCCAUGCCGCGUGGGUGAAGAAGGCCUUCGGGUUGUAAAGCCCUUUUGUUGGGAAAGAAAAGCAGCAGGUUAAUACCCCGCGGUUCUGACGGUACCCAAAGAAUAAGCACCGGCUAACUUCGUG
rnacentral:rRNA from 1 species